AUUGAACGCUGGCGGCAGGCCUAAUACAUGCAAGUCGAACGGAGUUAAGCGCUGGUCUGAUGCUAGCUUGCUAGUGGAUUUCCUUGCUUAACUUAGUGGCGGACGGGUGAGUAACGCGUGAGUAACCUGCCUCUCAGUGGGGAAUAACGCCCUGAAAAGAGCGCUAAUACCGCAUAAUAUAUUCUUGCCGCAUGACAGGAAUAUCAAAGAUUUAUCGCUGAGAGAUGGACUCGCGUCCGAUUAGCUUGUUGGCGGGGUAAUGGCCCACCAAGGCGACGAUCGGUAGCCGGACUGAGAGGUUGAACGGCCACAUUGGGACUGAGACACGGCCCAGACUCC
rnacentral:rRNA from 1 species